rnacentral:rRNA from 1 species
AGCGAACGCUGGCGGCAGGCUUAACACAUGCAAGUCGAGCGGGCAUCCUUGUGGUGUCAGCGGCAGACGGGUGAGUAACGCGUGGGAACGUGCCCUUCGGUUCGGAAUAACUCAGGGAAACUUGAGCUAAUACCGGAUACGUGCGAGAGCAGAAAGGUUUAUCUGCCGAAGGAUCGGCCCGCGUCUGAUUAGCUAGUUGGUGAGGUUACGGCUCACCAAGGCGACGAUCAGUAGCUGAUCUGAGAGGAUGAUCAGCCACACUGGGACUGAGACACGGCCCAGACUCCUACGGGAGGCAGCAGUGGGGAAUAUUGGACAAUGGGGGCAACCCUGAUCCAGCCAUGCCGCGUGAGUGAUGACGGCCUUAGGGUUGUAAAGCUCUUUUCUCCGGGACGAUAAUGACGGUACCGGAGGAAUAAGCCCCGGCUAACUUCGUG